rnacentral:piRNA from 1 species
UAAUUCUCACUCCGCAGAAUCUGCCUGAC